UUGUGCAGAUCCAUAAAAUCUCCUGCAAUCGCUACUUCACGUUCCUGCUACUGUAUUCGCCAGGCUAAUUUAUUUAAGAUCGAAAAUUGACGGAAUCCGGAGAAUGGUUUCCUGGCAUCAUGUUCCUCCAGUUGGCCGUUCAAGCAUGCGCACAUCUAUAGCUGUGAGCACGAAAACACUAAGGCCCUGGAAAGCCAUGAAAAUUUCCCACCCGAAAAACUCCUAGACUGCAGCAGGAUUCGAACCCAAUAAGAUAACACUGAAUCAACAAUUUGAUGUCACAAAAUUCGGCUCGCGGACAUCCCUUUAUCCUCGGUUGCGCGCCACGCUCGCCAAGUUUUUUUGCAUCUUAUACCCACGUAGCUCGCUGCAUCUCCUGUUGUACCACCCGGAUCUGAUGCGAACACCAUCUAUGCAGGAUUGCUGCGUACAUAAUUAUUGCAACGUUUCCUGCGAGCUCGUCGUUUCAUCGGCACACAUCGUUCCCGAAUACUACGAGUGUUUAUCAUUCUCCAAUAUUCUAAAAGAUUCUAUACGUAAAGGACUACAAAGUGUUUUUCUAUAUGGUACAUUUGAUAUGAUUGUGAAUUUUCUUUGCCCAUGGUUGUGAUAAGUUCCGAAGUAAGGAAAGCUUUCUAAGACAAAUAAUAAUGUAACAAAUAUAUCAUUCCUGAAACUAUGUACCGCCAGCA